rnacentral:rRNA from 1 species
UACGUAGGGUGCGAGCGUUAAUCGGAAUUACUGGGCGUAAAGCGUGCGCAGGCGGUUCGUCGUGUCCGAUGUGAAAGCCCCGGGCUCAACCUGGGAAUGGCAUUGGAAACUGGCGGGCUUGAGUGUGGCAGAGGGGGGUGGAAUUCCGCGUGUAGCAGUGAAAUGCGUAGAGAUCAUGAGGAAGACCAGUGGCGAAGGCGGGUCUCUGGACAGUUCCUGACACUGAGACACGAAGGCCAGGGGAGCAAACGGG